UACGGAGGGGGCUAGCGUUGUUCGGAAUUACUGGGCGUAAAGCGCGUGUAGGCGGUUUGGUAAGUUCUGUGUGAAAGCCCUGGGCUCAACCCAGGAAGUGCGCAGAAUACUGCCUGACUGGAGUGACGGAGAGGAUGGCGGAAUUCCCGGUGUAGAGGUGAAAUUCGUAGAUAUCGGGAGGAACACCUGUGGCGAAGGCGGCCAUCUGGACGUCAACUGACGCUGAGACGCGAAAGCAUGGGGAGCAAACAGG
rnacentral:rRNA from 1 species